CCGUAACUAUAACGGUCCUAAGGUAGCGAAAUUCCUUGUCGGGUAAGUUCCGACCUGCACGAAUGGCGUAAUGAUGGCCAGGCUGUCUCCACCCGAGACUCAGUGAAAUUGAACUCGCUGUGAAGAUGCAGUGUACCCGCGGCAAGACGGAAAGACCCCGUGAACCUUUACUAUAGCUUGACACUGAACAUUGAGCCUUGAUGUGUAGGAUAGGUGGGAGGCUUUGAAGUGUGGACGCCAGUCUGCAUGGAGCCGACCUUGAAAUACCACCCUUUAAUGUUUGAUGUUCUAACGUGGACCCGUUACCCGGGUUGCGGACAGUGUCUGGUGGGUAGUUUGACUGGGGCGGUCUCCUCCUAAAGAGUAACGGAGGAGCACGAAGGUUGGCUAAUCCUGGUCGGACAUCAGGAGGUUAGUGCAAUGGCAUAAGCCAGCUUGACUGCGAGCGUGACGGCGCGAGCAGGUGCGAAAGCAGGUCAUAGUGAUCCGGUGGUUCUGAAUGGAAGGGCCAUCGCUCAACGGAUAAAAGGUACUCCGGGGAUAACAGGCUGAUACCGCCCAAGAGUUCAUAUCGACGGCGGUGUUUGGCACCUCGAUGUCGGCUCAUCACAUCCUGGGGCUGAAGUAGGUCCCAAGGGUAUGGCUGUUCGCCAUUUAAAGUGGUACGCGAGCUGGGUUUAGAACGUCGUGAGACAGUUCGGUCCCUAUCUGCCGUGGGCGCUGGAGAACUGAGGGGGGCUGCUCCUAGUACGAGAGGACCGGAGUGGACGCAUCACUGGUGUUCGGGUUGUCAUGCCAAUGGCACUGCCCGGUAGCUAAAUGCGGAAGAGAUAAGUGCUGAAAGCAUCUAAGCACGAAACUUGCCCCGAGAUGAGUUCUCCCUGAGACUUUAGGUCUCCUGAAGGAACGUUGAAGACGACGACGUUGAUAGGCCGGGUGUGUAAGCGCAGCGAUGCGUUGAGCUAACCGGUACUAAUGAACCGUGAGGCUUAACCUU
rnacentral:rRNA from 4 species